GACACAACCGGCCCUUAGAAACUAGCUAGGAAGUGAAAGGCUGAAACCUACAUGGCUUCACUAUAUAAGUACACUACAUAGGGUAAGAAAUAAUAGCCUCUAUAAUUCAACUGAACCAUUUUUUGGGAUUCAGGCAAAAGACACAUUCUCAUACUCUUUCCUUACUUCACAUGGUAGAGUGGGUUGUCCACUAAUCGUAGGGUUGGCGGUUCGAUUCCCGACCCACUUCACUCCACAUGCUGAAGUGUCCUUGGGCAAGCUAGUGCCUUGCAUGGCAGCUCUGCUACCAUUGGUGUGUGAGUGUGUGAAUGGGGUUGCGGGGAACCUAGAGCCUAUCUCAGAGAGCAUGGGGCACAAGGCGGGGUACACCCUGGACGAGGUGCCAAUUGUCAUAAUGUCAUAUUUGUCAUAAUUUUGUAAUGCAGUUUUAUUAAUAUUAUUUAUAAUUGUAUAAUUUCAUCCUCGUCCAAUCUUGGACAUAAUAGAUUUUGGAAAUUUAUUUAUAAAUAUUGUCACAAUUUGUGAAGUUUGACAUUAUGUAAGAAAUAAGCAUUACUAUUGAAUAACAAAUACCAUUUCCCAACAGAGUCACAUAUAAAGUGAUGUUCUGCAAAUACAUGCAGAUAUUUACUUUGAGGCGAAAAGACAAAUGCUUACAUACAAUGCUCAAUUAUUGACAGCAACAUUAAAGCAUAUCAAUAAUUUCAGUCAUCAGUUGUUUUUUUUUUUGUUGUUUUUUGUUUGUUUGUUUGUUUGUUGUUGUUUUUUUAAGAAAGAGGGAAAGAGAUCCUUGACCAGAUCUGACAUUAGUAACAGUGGGAAUGGAGCACUACAUGUGCUGUAUAAAUUUAGGCGGUGAUGGCAUUAUACAAGUAUGACACAGGUACAAGUAAAUCUGAAACCUUUACUCUACGAGCAUUCUGGUAUAGAUAAUGAAGUCACACAAAAGUUGCAGUCUUAGAUUAUGGUACAAGUCUUUUAAAACAACCUACACACUAUGUAGCCAAAGGUAUGUGGACACCUGUCCUUCACACCCACACAUGGGCCUUUCUCAACCUGUUGACACAAAGUUGAAGACACACAAUUGUUUAGGCUGUCUCUGUAUGCUGUAGCAUUACAAUUUCCCUUCAUUGAAACUAAGAUUUCCAGUUCCAGUAUGACAAUGCCCCUGUACUCAAAGUGAGGUCCAU